GAUGAACGCUAGCGGCAGGCCUAACACAUGCAAGUCGAGGGGUAGAACACUUCGGUGUUUGAGACCGGCGCACGGGUGCGUAACGCGUAUGCAAUCUACCUUGUACAGGGGAAUAGCCCAGAGAAAUUUGGAUUAAUGCCCCCAUAGUAUAUAACCUUCGCAUGUUGGUUAUAUUAAAGUUCCAACGGUACAAGAUGAGCAUGCGUCCCAUUAGUUAGUUGGUAAGGUAACGGCUUACCAAGACGAUGAUGGGUAGGGGUCCUGAGAGGGAGAUCCCCCCACACUGGUACUGAGACACGGACCAGACUCCUACGGGAGGCAGCAGUGAGGAAUAUUGGUCAAUGGGUCGCAAGACUGAACCAGCCAUGCCGCGUGCAAGGAAGACGGGUCCCUAUGGAUUGUAAAACUGCUUUUAUACAGGAAGAAACCCUCCCACGUGUGGAGCUUGACGGUACUGUAGG
rnacentral:rRNA from 1 species